AAGUUGGAGUUGCUAGUAAUCGCGGAUCAGCAUGUCGCGGUGAAUACGUUCCCGGGCCUUGUACACACCGCCCGUCACACCAUGGGAGUUGGGAGCGCCCGAAGCCGGUGAGGUAACCGAGAGGAGCCAGCCGUCGAAGGUGAGACCAAUGACUGGGGUGAAGUCGUAACAAGGUAAC
rnacentral:rRNA from 1 species